rnacentral:misc_RNA from 1 species
CCUCCUUUCUAAGGAAAUCGAAAAUAAUAUUUUCGAUUUAAAAAAACCGGUAAUGUGACCGUCCUCAUUUCUCUUCUUUUAAUGUCUCUGACUAAAAAUAAUGUAAGGGGCCGGUAGCUCAGGUGGUUAGAGCGCACCCCUGAUAAGGGUGAGGUCGGAAGUUCGAAUCUUCCUCGGCCCACCAAUAUUAUGGGGGAUUAGCUCAGCUGGGAGAGCGCCUGAUUUGCAUUCAGGAGGUCAGCGGUUCGAUCCCGCUAUCCUCCACCAAAAUUUGAGACAUUUAGCUUUUUUAAAUUGUGAAUAAUUUUAUUAUCAAUAUCUAUAUCCGAUUGUUUUCAUAUAUUUUUUUGAAAACAAUCAAAACAAAAAUUUGAAUUUUACACAGAAAGUUUUUUUCUGUGCAUAAAUCAAGCGUUUAAGGGCGAUUGGCGGAUGCCUUGGCACUGUAAGACGAUGAAGGACGUGGUAUACUGCGAUAAGUUUCGGGGAGUGGUAUGCAAGCUUUGAUCCGAAGAUUCCGAAUGG